AUGACUAAGCUUGCGCUCCUCGUCCGAGGAACUGCACUACUGAUUUGUCUAUUGAUCUUCCAACCAUCAUCCACUUCCCAUGGCCAAGCGAGUGGGUCUGGAGCCUGCAUCAGCAGCGAGCGAGAUGCGCUUCUGUCCUUCAAGGCAAGCCUCAUGGACCCUGCCGGCCAUCUCUCGUCAUGGCAGGGUGAGGAUUGUUGCCAGUGGAAGGGAGUCCGGUGCAGCAACAGAACGGGCUAUCUCAUCAAGCUCAACCUCCGCAACACCGACAUGUACGACAGGUACGACAUGUACGCCAUGUACGACAUGGGCUACAACAGCUACGACUACAACUACUACAUGGGCGACUACAGCUACCCGAGCAGGAGCAGUUCAUUGACCUUGUUAGCAGGCGAGAUGAGCUCUUCUUUGGCUACUUUACAACACCUGAGGUAUCUUGAUCUGAGCUGCAAUGACUUCAACGGCACAAGCAUCCCUGUCUUCUUGUCUUCUCUCAAGAACCUAAGGUAUCUCAACCUCUCGUCGGCAGGAUUCGGUGGGAGAAUACCUUCCCAACUUGGCAAUCUCUCAAAGUUGCAAUAUCUUGAUCUCUGUGGGAAUUAUGACUAUUAUGAUGGGAAUUGGUCUUACAUAGUGGAUCUUGCAUGGUUGCCACGUCUCUCUUUGUUGAGACAUCUUGACAUGAGCCGUGUGGACCUUAGUUCUGCGAGGGAUUGGUUUCAGAGGGUUAAUAUGCUUCCUUCUCUUAAAGUGCUUCGUUUGUCCGACUGUGGUCUCAAUGGUAACGUGUCUGCUAGUAUAUCAAUUUCCAACCUCACACAUCUUGAGGUCCUUGACAUGUCUCAUAACGCCUUCACAAUACCCCAAUUUGGCAAUCUCUCAAAGUUGCAAUAUCUUGAUGUGAGUUGGCAUUUAUAUCCUGAUAUGGAUCUUGCAUGGUUUCCACGUCUCUCUUUGUUGAGACAUCUUGACAUGAGUGGUGUGGAUCUUUAUUCUGCGGGGGAUUGGUUUCAGAGGGUUAACAUGCUUCCUUCUCUUAAAGUGCUUCGCUUGUCCGGGUGUGGACUCAAUAGUACCAUGUCUGCUAGUGUAUCACUUUCCAACCUCACACAUCUUGAGGUCCUUGAUAUGUCCAACAACUUUGAUACUUCACUCAAGCAUGCGUGGUUUUGGAAUCUCACAGGCCUUAAGGAGCUUCACCUAGGAUAUUCCGGCUUGGAAGGGUCCAUUCCUAGUGAUUUGGCAAACAUGACGGCCCUUCAAGUCAUAGAUUUAAGUGGGAAUCAGCUCGUGGGUUUGAUACCAGAAAAAUUGGGAAAUUUGUGCAAUUUGACCAGAAUGCGGUUCAGUGGUAACAACAUAGGUUCGAGCAUAGGGGAGUUCAUGAGGCGAUUACCAAAGUGCUCAUGGAAUACAUUGCAAGAAUUUUCGGUGCAGGAUGCAAAUAUGAUCGGGAAUCUUCCCAGUUGGAUUGGUAACAUGACCAAUCUCAGUGUUCUUCAUGCAUCUGAAAACAUGUUGAGUGGCCCUCUACCUGUAGGAGUUGGAGCACUGAGUAAUUUGAAAAGUCUGAUCCUCGGGAACAAUAACUUCAGCGGUGUGCUCUUGAAAGAACAAUUUGCAAAUUUAGGGAAAUUAGAGCUUUUGGACCUCAGCCACAAUAACUUCAGCGGUGUGCUAUUGAAAGAACAUUUUGCAAGUUUAGGCGCCUUAAAGAUUUUGGACCUUAGCUGCAAUAACUUCAGUGGUGUGCUCUCCAAUGAACAAUUUGCAAGUUUGGGCAACUUAAAGAUUUUGGACCUCAGCAGUAAUAACUUUAGUGAUUUUCUCUUGAAAGAACAGUCAGCAAGUUUAGAUAAUUUAAAGCAUUUGGACCUCAGCCAUAAUAAAUUAAAUAGUGUGCUCGUGGGGGAACAUUUUACAGGCCUAUUGAAUUUAAAGUAUCUGGACUUUUCGUACAACUCUGUGAGAUUAGCUAUCAACCAAAAAUGGGUUCCUGCAUUUAGGUUGAAGUACGCAAUAUUCCGGUCAUGUCAAUUGGGCCCUAGAUUUCCUGAGUGGCUUAAAUGGCAAUCUGACAUUGAUGUCCUUGUUCUCAGUAAUGCAAAUCUUGAUGAUGUUAUUCCUGAUUGGUUUUGGGUUACAUUUUCUCGAGCUUCCUUCUUGCAAGUAUCAGGAAACAAAUUGCAUGGGUCAAUACCAUCAGAUCUACAACACAUGUCAGCUGAUCAUAUAUAUCUCGGAUCCAAUAUGUUUACAGGUCAAGUCCCACAGUUGCCUAUAAAUAUAGUACGACUGAACCUAUCUUCAAACACUUUAUCUGGUUCAUUGCCAUCAGAGUUAAAUGCUCCACUACUCGAAGAGUUGUUGCUUGCAAACAAUCAAUUCAUAGGCACCAUCCCGUCGUCUAUAUGCCAAUUGACUAAACUGAAAAGGUUGGACCUAUCAGGAAACCAGUUAACAGGAGAUAUUAUGCAGUGCCAAAAGGAACUUGUUCCAAACUCUACAGAUCAAUUUGGCUCUGACAUGCUGAGCUUAGCCUUGAAUAACAAUGAUCUCACUGGUGAAUUCCCUAAAUUUCUUCAAAGGUCAUCAGGAUUGAUGUUCCUUGAUCUUUCUUACAAUAGGUUUGUUGGAGGAUUGCCAGAAUGGUUACCAGAAAAAGUGCCACACUUGAAAAUAUUAAGAGUGAGAUCAAAUAUGUUCAAUGGUCAUAUUCCUAAGAGUCUCACUUCCCUUCACGACCUUCAUUAUUUGGACAUAGCACACAACAAGAUAACAGGAAGCAUACCAUGGUCUUUGUCAAACCUGAAGGCAAUGAUGACAGUGGUGUCACAUGACACCGGAGAUUACAUAUAUGAAGAGAGCAUCCCAGUAAUCACAAAGGACCAAAAGCGUGACUACACCUUUGCAAUUUACCAGCUACUGGUAGUUCUUGAUUUGUCAAGUAAUAGUUUGGCAGGACAGAUUCCAGAGGAGAUACAUUUACUCAUUGGGCUUACCAAUCUGAACUUGUCAAACAACCACCUCACAGGAGCAAUCCCAAACAAAAUUGGUGAUUUAAGGCAGUUGGACUCACUCGACCUAUCCUUCAAUGAGUUUUCUGGUUCAAUACCAUCAAGUUUGUCAGCUUUAACUUAUUUGAGCCACUUGAACUUGUCAUACAACAAUCUGUCCGGUGCAAUACCAUCCGGCCAACAGCUACAAGCUCUUGAUAACCAGAUGUAUAUCUACAUCGGUAACCCUGGUCUUUGUGGAGAUCCUGUUGGCAGGAGCUGCUCAACACAUGAUGCAGAGCAAAGUGGCCUUGAAGAUAUAGAUCAUAUGCCAUCUGUUUAUCUUGCCAUGAGCAUUGGAUUUGUGGUGGGUCUGUGGACAGUUUUCUGCACCAUGUUGAUGAAGAGGACAUGGAGGGCUGCCUUCUUCCAGUUUGUUGAUAUGAUGUACGACAUGGUUUAUGUGCAAGUGGCUGUAAGGUGGGCUCACGUGAUGGAGAAAACUCAAGACGGUGCACCAUGA
rnacentral:rRNA from 1 species